AUCUUACUUCAUAUUCGGUUCUCUACCUUGAUUCUAUAUAUUCCGGCCCAGGAUUGAUAAACCAAUCUCCAUUUGCUAGCUGUCAGCUAGCUACAUUCAUGUUUGCCUAGUGGUGGUGUUUGCAUGGUUGCAGUUUAUAGUUGAUAAGAGAUUUUUUUAUCAAAAAUAUGAAUCCAAGUUUGAAGAAGGGGGAGUCCUCCACACAACAGGAGAAUUUUUUCAAUCACAUUGUUUGAGUUCUUAGAAUAUGGCGUGUUUGGAUUUUUGGGGUUAAUGAGUUCAGGAAAAUGAGCAAUACGGAAAGGUAAAAAAGAUUCCGGAAAGGAUGCAAGAAGCAACUUGGAGUGCAGGAAGUACAGCCCUUAAAGCCAGACCUUAUUGGGUCUUAAAGGAAGAAAUGCCCAUAACCAUUGAUGAACAAGGUUCAUAUUGGGUGGUUGAUGCUGAAUUGCUGACUUGAAUACUUGUUCAAGGAUAUGGCCAAUAAAGAUUACAUGUUCUGGUGACUUUCUAAGGUGGUCUGCGCCAAUUCAAUGAACUCGACCGAGUCACCCGUUUAAUGUAACUCGGCGCUAUUUAAAACUCGAGUGCAUAACUGUAUCAAGUGUGCUUUGUUUUCUUCGUUCCCUCUUCUGAGUCUCAUAUUCUCUAAUUGCCUGCGAAUGAAUUCACCCCUUGAAGCCCCUCUUCGCAAUUAGUGUUGAUUGAGUUUUAGCUACAAGUUUACCAGCCUAUGCUGCUAGGGAGAUGAAAUCAAUUGGCAAGGAUUAUGACAAAAUUAUGGAGCAUGCAUCUAAUCGGAAGCUAAUUCCUCCAAGUUCUCCUGAUAAAAGCAACAUAGCUGGAGCCCCAAAGUCAAAUCCUCGAAUUGGUUUUGAAUACGAGGUGGAAGUUCCUUCCAUGAUAAAAGAAUCAAAACGGCUUACACUUCUAAUGAAUCCUGCUGAUUCAGAACUUGUACAUAAAGAAGUGGAGGAUAAUGUAGCUACUUUGAAUAACUCAUGGAGUGAUACUGAUGGAAAAAGUUUUCUCCUUGGUUUGUUUAUCUUUUUGGGAAGAAUUUUGUGCAGAUAAAAAGAUUUUUAGAGAACAAAGGGAUGGAGGAAAUACUGUCAUUUUACUAUGGGAAGUUUUAUAAGUCUGAUGAAUAUCGUAGAUGGUCAGACUGCAUGAAAAUUAAAGGGAGAAAAUGUAUAACAGGACACACUUUUUCUGGUCGGAAGCAAUGUGAACUUUGUCUCGCUUAACUCUCCAUGUCUCUGAAGAAUUUAAAGAUGUUUUGAACAGGUUUCCAAGUCAUAUUAGAAGGUGAGACUUUCUCUAGAAGAAUAUGUCUCUUCUUUGAAGUCUAGUGUUGGACUUGGUGUUCUUGUGGAAGCUGUAGGCAUUGGUAAGGGGAAGGAAGACCUUAAGCUUGCAGUAGAAGAAACUAAAGUUGGUGGCUGCAAUGAGGAAGAGGCAGAGAAGGGAUCCUACAAGGUUCAUGACAAACUAGAAGAGAUAUAUCCUGAUGACGAACAGGUUAACGAUGCUGUCAUCGAAAUCCUUGAAAAAAGGUCAGGUCGGCCCUCCCAAUUAGCAAUGAAUUUAGAGGCCAAUCUGAAUCAACCAACAACUAAUGAAGAACUGAAGCAAGCUCUGAGCAAAUUUCGAAGUUUGGCUUAUGAAGAAAGCUUCAAGACUUGUUUCGACAGGCCGAAUUACAAGAAAGAAUUGGCAGAAGCAAUUGAUGAGCUCAUAAAGUUCAAGGAUACGAUGAUCGAGGAAGAUAAACAUGAUCUGGACGCAUUCAUAGAGAUUUUUGACCAAGCAUAUCCUCUCAGUAAGUAGAAACGUAAGUGCAGAGAGGUGCUUGAGAAGAUCGAAAAUGAUACUAAGGAUGACAGAUCCAAACUUGAAUCCUUGAAAAUGAAGACAAUUGAUCUGAAAUCCAAAUAUGUCAAGCUCAAGCCGUCUCUUGCAAAUUUAGAGAAAGAAGAGAAGGAUUUAGAAGAACAACUAAAAACAAUUCAGGAUAAGCUUGUGACUGUUCGAAAGCAAAAAGAUGAAACUAUUGCAGCUAAAGCAAAAGUGAUCAAAACUCAGGAAGAAACUCUUGCAGCUGCGAAAAUUAUUGCUGCACCUUUAGUAGAACAAUUACAGAAAGAGAUCUCUCCAAGAAAAUCAGGCCUAGUUAUUUGCAGACCCCAAAGUUUUGAUCAAGAAGCACAACAAAAUGAGACUUGUCUACCUGCCUUGAACAUUUUUGCUUGAGCAAAUUACACUCGCAUCCCCUGAGGGCUAGCGCUUAUUACACUCAACCUCACUCCUUUUUUUUUUUAUCAUAUACAAGACUCCAUUGUAUUUUUACCAUCCAUUACACUGUGCCCCCUAACCCACUAACACUAUCAACCUUAACAAGAACUAGACAUGUGAUUUGUAGCGGGUGCCAAGUUAGGUGACUGUACAUGACAUGCAACGAGAGCACCAGUCGAGGGUGAGGUCGCUGCGGCACUGGAAGAGGCUGUAGAUGGUGUCGGAGGAGGCGAGGACGGUGAAUUUGUUGUGGUUGUGGUUGGCAAAGGCGACAGAGUUGACGAGGGAUGUGAGGAGCGAGUUGACGGUGUUUUCGUAGGUGAAAUCAGCGUGAACUAGGACUGCAAGUAGACUUGCACGAGAGUGAUAGGGAUUCUUAAGACAUUUCACAAAAAUCAAUAGGUUCAGGAGAGACAAAAAAAAUGUGAUUUUACCAAAAGUGUGUAGGUGAAAUAAACCCUAACAUAAGGGGGUGAGUGUAAUUUGUUCUUUUUUCUUUGAUUAUUAUUUCCAGCUCUUUAGAAUGCUUUGAACAGGAUUCAUACCUUUGCUAAUUGAGUGGUAUGUUUACUUCCAUAA